rnacentral:lncRNA from 1 species
AGAUCACCAAUGGCAAGUGCCAUAACUACCACUUCAAGUACCGGUAUAUCAGAUGAAGAACGAAGAUGGGCUGUGGUUGGCGUUUGUAUUAACAAAGUUCUUACUCCUCAGUUAAGAAAUGUUCUUGCAACUGAGAUACAGAACUGGUAUCAUCUGCUGUGUCGACCACCCGAUGAAAUUCACAAGCAAGUUUUUUCCAAACAUAAAAAGAAACUACCUCCAUCAACGUUCUCUUUAAAAUACGAGAACAUCAACAACAACAAUGUCCACAAGUCGCCCAAAGCUUAUGACUUUAAAGUUAAAGAUCCAUUGUCUUUGGCAAAGUUGUUUGUCCAACCUUUCAUGGCGAAAUUUACUGCUUUUGACCAAACUAUGGACAUGUCUGCAGUUUUGGCAAUUAUGUGUGAAGCAGAUCCAUUUGUGACAUCUGGCGCUGCAGUUGAAGCAAAGAUAGUAAGGUCAAACAUCAGAAAUAAGUGGGCCCAUUGUAACUUUUCGGAUUGGACCAAACCCGCAUUCAUGGACGCCUUUCAAGACAUGGACUCUUUAGUGAAGAAGAUGAAUCUACCACCGGCUGAUGAAAAAGCAUUGUGUGAUGAUCUGGUUAGCUGGAGGGAUAAAGG